GGAAAUUCAAGCAACACACAUAAAAGUUGCUGGUGAAUGCAGCAGGCCAGGCAGCAUCUCUAGGAAGAGGUGCAGUCGACGUUUCAGGCCGAGACCCUUCGUCAGGACUAACUGAAGGAAGAAGUCACAGGAUCGAUUUGCUUUCACAUGGGAAGGCAGACAGUACACUGUUACCAGAUUGCGUCAGGGGCAUGUGCAUAGCCCUACCUUGUGUCAUGGAUUGAUAGCACAAGACCUCAAGGCAUGAACUCUCUCACCUGAUAUACAGGUGAAAUAACAGCUCUGGAAUUAAUUUUGUCAAUGGCAUGGACCUUCCCCUGAGUAGAGGUCACGAUCUGGACGUGUGGGAAGAAUGUACAAUGGCCAUCUGUAGAAGAAGAUGUCCUCUGAUACAACACAUUUCUGUGAAAUGUAACCAUGAUUAAUUGUGAUCAGCUUUGCAUUAUUCAAAGUAUGGAACUGGGGACUGAAUAGAGGGCAUGAAUUAAUUAUAGUGGUGGUUGUUUAUAGUGAAGAUUAUUUUAGCUUGUUGCUUAUACAGAAUUCACAUUAUAAGCCCACUACUUAAGUAAUUAUAAUAAUUCUAGUUAACUUUUAUUUACUAUAAUUUUUGUAUAAUAUACCAAUGAGGAAUUAAGAGGAGUGUAAGUAAAGAGUUAAUUGUGAUUUGGCCCUUGGUAUAUGCUAAAAUAAAAUGGAAGUUUAUAAGACAAAAUGGUGUUAGCUUAGAGUGGGAUUGUUUUGAGAAAGUACAAGAGAACCAGUCCACACACAGAAAUGUUUUGAGAAUGUCAAGUAAGUACAAGUCUGCAGCCAUAAUAAUGGAAAAUGGUAAAAAUCAUGUUUGUCUGGGCUGGUGGUUGUAGGGGAUAAGGGGUACAGCCGGUACCACCAAGGGAUGGAAAAGUACUAGUGGAAGGGGUUUGAGUAUAAAAAGGGUAACUCCUUUGAGAGUGACAGUGAAUGAGAGAGAGGGAGAAGGAAGAGUUUUGCCUUGGGCUAGGUCAUGACUGGUGCUAGUGCCAAAAUUUGGAGAUGAUGGGGGCACGUAUGUCCAGAGAGUUAGAGUAUGUCAGUUCAGAGUGAGAGAGCAUGAAAGAGAGAAAAAAAGGCUGCAUGAACUUUGUCAGCAUUCUGCAGAUGAGCUUGUUUAGUGGUUAGGUAUUAGUUUGAUUUCUGCACUGCUACUACUGUAGACAUUUGUUUUUCCUUUCUAUGUUGCAUUUGUGCUGGUUCUAAUAAAGUGCU